UGCCAGCAGCCGCGGUAAUACGAAGGGGGCGAGCGUUGUUCGGAAUUACUGGGCUUAAAGAGUUCGUAGGUGGUUGAAAAAGUUAGUGGUGAAAUCCCAGAGCUUAACUCUGGAACUGCCAUUAAAACUUUUCAGCUAGAGUAUGAUAGAGGAAAGCAGAAUUUCUAGUGUAGAGGUGAAAUUCGUAGAUAUUAGAAAGAAUACCAAUUGCGAAGGCAGCUUUCUGGAUCAUUACUGACACUGAGGAACGAAAGCUAGGGUAGCAAAAGGGAUUAGAUA
rnacentral:rRNA from 1 species